rnacentral:rRNA from 1 species
AUUGAACGCUGGCGGCAUGCUUUACACAUGCAAGUCGAACGGUAACAGGCCGCAAGGUGCUGACGAGUGGCGAACGGGUGAGUAAUGCAUCGGAACGUGCCCAGUCGUGGGGGAUAACUACUCGAAAGAGUAGCUAAUACCGCAUACGAUCUAUGGAUGAAAGCGGGGGACCGUAAGGCCUCGCGCGAUUGGAGCGGCCGAUGUCAGAUUAGGUAGUUGGUGGGGUAAAGGCUCACCAAGCCAACGAUCUGUAGCUGGUCUGAGGGGACGACCAGCCACACUGGAACUGAGACACGGCCCAGACUCCUACGGGAGGCAGCAGUGGGGAAUUUUGGACAAUGGGCGCAAGCCUGAUCCAGCAAUGCCGCGUGCAGGAAGAAGGCCUUCGGGUUGUAAACUGCUUUUGUACGGAACGAAACGGCUCUGGUUAAUACCCGGGGCUAAUGACGGUACCGUAAGAAUAAGCACCGGCUAACUACGUG